CAUCCCUCUCAUCUGGGAAUUAACUUCUUCCUCACUGAGCAUGACAUCAUCUUGUUGUUCUUCUACACGCUUGCAUCUUGUUCCUUUCUCUCGCUUGAGGGAGGACUGAAGUACUGAAAGAGUUAAUUUGUUGCCUAGGCUCUUUAAAUCCUUAUCUGACCUGCCAGUAACUUGUGGCAGGAGCUGUGUCAGGAUAGGCUUCAUGGCUGGCCUUUGGUUCCUCCUGCGUUCACUUCUAGCCGCAGGACCACCCUGCACGGGCCUCUGGUCUCAGCCACCUGGUGGGGGAAGGCUGACAGCAAGAUCUUAACACAUCUGUGACCAGCCCUGCUCCAACCAACAGCCUCCCCACUUCCUACCUGGCAACUACUGGGGCCCAGCCCAGCCAAAACCGGACUCGGCAUCCCCUGGACCCCCCGAAAAGGGGCCCAGCCUUUCCGGCAGAAGCUGCCCAGCCCAGCCCAGGACAGAGCCCCGUGGGCUUCCCCGGCCCAGACAGGACUGGACCCAGCAGGCCUGGGGCAUGUGAUCUUUGUGCUGGCUGGGAAGAAAAGAGGAAGUUCCCAGGAUUUUUCGUUUUUAACAUGUGUCUUUCACAGAGGCAUACCCAGCUUCUCAGUAAUUCAACAGACUGUCAGCUACACAAAAAGCUUUUACAUCACUUCCUUAAAUUUCCUCCCAUUCCAAACCACAACACCCAGGAAUCUACACAUCUGGGGAAAUGCCUUUGAAGGAGAGGGACUUGAUUCUCAAGGAAACUGCUUCCCCAGGACUCCCAGUGAGGCAGACACAUCCUUGGUUUCAAAGUGUGUCUAGGAGCCAGGUGUUACUGUUUGAUGGUGGUCUGGAAGUACAUUUUCUCUCUUGAAUUUGUCUGACAUGGGACAGCUCACAGCCCACAAGGAAUUUCCGGCCUCACAGGCUUCUGAGAGUGUGGUAGUUACUUCAAAAGAUAUGUAUUUCUACAGAAAAUCUGCUCUAGACUGGAGACUUUGAUAUUUCACAAGCUAGUUAAAAAGUAAGCAUUGCUUCAACACAAGAUCUUCAACUCCCUAUGAAAAAAUAAA